AGAGCGAACGUUGGCGGCGCGCCUAACACAUGCAAGUCGAACGCGAAAAGCCUUCGGGCUGAGUAGAGUGGCGCACGGGUGAGUAACACGUGAGUAAUCUGCCCAUUGGACCGGGAUAACAUGCCGAAAGGCGUGCUAAUACCGGAUAAGACCACGAACCCUGCGGGGAUUGUGAGAAAAGACGGGGAUUCGCAAGAACCUGUCACCAUAGGAUGAGCUCGCGGCCUAUCAGCUAGUUGGCGGGGUAAUGGCCCACCAAGGCUAAGACGGGUAGCUGGUCUGAGAGGAUGAUCAGCCACACUGGAACUGAGACACGGUCCAGACUCCUACGGGAGCAGCAGUGGGGAAUUUGCGUCAAUGGACGAAAGUCUGACGCAGCGACGCCGCGUGUGCGAUGAAGGCCGUUU
rnacentral:rRNA from 1 species